GCUUGGAUGGCUCAGUUGGUUAGAGCGCAGGUCUCAUACGUAACGUAUGACCGCCGCACGGUGGGCAAUCCUGAGGUCGUGAGUUCGAUCCUCACUCCGAGCA
rnacentral:tRNA from 1 species